AUACAAUGAUGUGGACACCUCCUUUAGAGCUCCUUGUAUCUCUCACAAGCCUCAUAUAGUGAUUCUCCUUCUUGUUGUAUAAAGGAUGUGAUCUCUCCUCUCAGCUU